GCUCAGGAUGAACGCUAGCUACAGGCUUAACACAUGCAAGUCGAGGGGUAGCAGGGUAGCAAUACCGCUGACGACCGGCGCACGGGUGAGUAACACGUAUCCAACCUUCCCAUAACUCGGGGAUAGCCUUUCGAAAGAAAGAUUAAUACCCGAUAGUACUUAUAUAAGGCAUCUUAAAUAAGUUAAAGAUUUAUUGGUUAUGGAUGGGGAUGCGUUCCAUUAGAUAGUUGGUGAGGUAACGGCUCACCAAGUCUUCGAUGGAUAGGGGUUCUGAGAGGAAGGUCCCCCACAUUGGUACUGAGACACGGACCAAACUCCUACGGGAGGCAGCAGUGAGGAAUAUUGGUCAAUGGGCGAGAGCCUGAACCAGCCAAGUA
rnacentral:rRNA from 1 species